CCCUUAGACGUUCUGGGCCGCACGCGCGCCACACUGACCAGUGCAACAAGCAUCCGUCCUUGGCCGACAGGCCCGGGCAAUCUUUGAACGCUGGUCGUGAUGGGGAUAGACUUUUGCAAUUUUUGGUCUUCAACGAGGAAUUCCUAGUAAACGCAAGUCAUCAACUUGCAUUGAUUACGUCCCUGCCCUUUGUACACACCGCCCGUCGCACCUACCGAUUGAAUGGUCCGGUGAAGCCUCCGGAUUGGCGCGCACCUCGGUGCCGCCGAGAAGUUGGCUAAACCUUACCAUUUAGAGGAAGGUGAUGUCGUAACA
rnacentral:rRNA from 1 species